rnacentral:tRNA from 1 species
AGACAUAGAAGUAAUAAUUACAUUUAGUUUCGACCUAAUUAUAAGGUUUUUAACCUCAUGUUUA